CCACCAAGCAAAAGAAUCAAGAGUGAGGUUCAUAGGUAUAAGGAAAGUGUUGAGCCUUAUGCGAAUAAAAUAGUCUAACUGCAUUAUUUAUGGGCAGAUUUAAGGAAUAUCAUGUAUUGCAUAAAUCCAUAAUCAUUUUUCCCUUGAGUCAUUUUUACAGAACUUUAAAUUUUCUCUUUCUGUCAGGGUGAGCAGCUUCAGAGUGCUCUUGUGUUUGAGGAGAUAGGUCGCCGCCUUAAGGACGUCGGGGGUGAGGUGGUGAAGAAAGUGAAUGCUGUGUUCGAGUGGCAUAUCACCAAAGGCGGGAACACUGCAGCUAAGUGGACAAUUGACCUGAAAAGCGGCUCUGGGAAGGUAUAUCAGGGCCCUGCAGAGGGCUCUGCGGAUACAACCAUCAUCAUCUCAGAUGAAGAUUUCAUGGAAGUGGUCCUGGGCAAGCUGGACCCUCAGAAGGCCUUCUUCAGUGGCCGCUUGAAGGCCAGGGGCAACAUCAUGCUGAGCCAGAAGCUUCAGAUGAUUCUGAAGGACUAUGCCAAGCUCUGAGGGCACCUGCACCAUGAGCACAAGGGUAUGCACCGUUAUUCUACAAGGUGAUCAAAACAAAAAUGCAGGAGAGACUGCUUAACAUUUUUAGAUUUCAGAUAACUUCAGAUUUUCAUUUUCUACUAAUUUUUCACAUAUUAUUUUUCCAAGGAACUGUAAGAUAGCACAUAAUUAUCUUUCUGUCCUUAGAUCUGUAUUGUCAAAAUAAAAAGAAAUUUCACCCAAAUCCGGUUUCUUUAGAAUCUGUGAUAGCAUUUAUAAGUUGAAAGGAAAAAUAA